UACAGAGGGUGCGAGCGUUGUCCGGAAUCACUGGGCGUAAAGGGUGCGUAGGCGGUGGGGUAAGUCUGGUGUGAAAUCUCGGAGCUCAACUUCGAAAUUGCACUGGAUACUGCUCUGCUAGAGGGCUGGAGAGGAGAUCGGAAUUCACGGUGUAGCAGUGAAAUGCGUAGAUAUCGUGAGGAAGACCAGUGGCGAAGGCGGAUCUCUGGACAGCUCCUGACGCUGAGGCGCGAAGGCUAGGGGAGCAAACGGG
rnacentral:rRNA from 1 species